UGUUUGUAUACAUCGCAAAGAUCAGUCAUCGAUGGUCGCCACGGCUUGCCGACAUUAUGACAAAUACCAAUAUGGUGCAAUAUUCGGGAACAUUGAAGUAGUCUAGUGCAGUAGUACUUCAGCUAUGAUUCAGACGACUCGGGUUCGAUUCCGCUCUGGUUUAUUUGCCCAACUCGGGCCAAAUGAGAGCUCGUCCUCUUUGGCCGGCGUCCCGUCGCCCCUUUCCGCAACAUCGACGACAAGGAUGCUAACACCUUGCUAGCCGUGCUAGCUCCGACCGGAGGCUUUGAACGUCUCCUGCGAGUUUCAACGGCAACACAACUCGUUUUAUUCGGCGCAUAACUGCAUCUACAAAAAACGUCUCAAACUUUUUCAGCAUUUGGAUAAAACGGCCGUUUUGCACCAAGUGCACAGCUUGAAAUUGGCUUGAAUCUUCAACUGAACGUCCGACUUGACUGAAUUCCUGACUGGCUGUUCAAAUCUUCAACAAAAUGGCUGACUCGCUGUGACGUUUGGUGGGGGGGCCUUUUGGGACUUUGGCGCCGCCAUCCUCGCUGGGGAGGGAAAAAAGUUUCCUUUGCUUCAGGAUGAGCUGACCAGGCGGCCUCCAACUGAGACGUCCUCACGGUUCAGGAAGAAGACACGGAAACCACCGAAGGAGGGGAAGGACACCCAGGUCCCAUUGGGGACUUGGCCACCAAGAUCCUGCACCUGCUGGGCAAAAACAAAACUGAACAUGCAGAAGGUCUCUUGGUCAGCAGUUCUGCAGUCACGGGGACCUGAGGAACGAGAUGUUACCCCAAAGUCGCACUCCAGCCAGAACAAGGUCUUGACCUUUUUGCUCCUGGACACUUGGAUGUUCUUGCUACCAACGUCCACCGGGUGGUGCUGAAGAAUCCUGGAGAACCUGAUCGCGGCUCAGCUGGUGAAGUCAAUCUCAAAGCCUGGAACCUGUUGGAAAACAGACCGAAUUUACAGUUUGUCGCUGUAGGUGGCGGAAACCUGGCGUCAACUUGAGUUCCCCCAAAGUUGCACUCGGAGAUGUGCUCCAGCAAAAACCCUCAAGAUUUUACCUGGACAUUUGAAUGUUCUUGAAGUCAAAGUCUGUCAGGUGGCAGAAAUGUGGAGUGAUGGUCAACUUCCUGUCCAACAUGUUGAGAUCACCUUCCGGUCCAAGUGCCAUCGGGACUGCCACCAAGAUCCUGCACCGACUGGGCAAAAGAAGAAAUCCACAUGAAUAG